UACAGAGGUCCCGAGCGCUGUUCGGAUUCACUGGGCGUAAAGGGUGCGUAGGUGGCUGAGAAAGUUUGAUGUGAAAGCUCAGGGCUUAACCCUGAAAUGGCAUUGAAUACUGCCUGGCUGGAGGUUUGGAGGGGGGACUGGAAUUCUUGGUGUAGCAGUGAAAUGCGUAGAUAUCAAGAGGAACACCAGUGGCGAAGGCGAGUCCCUGGACAACACCUGACACUGAGGCACGAAAGCCGGGGGAGCAAACAGG
rnacentral:rRNA from 1 species